rnacentral:tRNA from 1 species
GCGGGUGUAGCCAAAAGGCAAGGCACGGGACUUUGACUCCCGUAUGUGCUGGUUCGACUCCAGCCGCCCGUUCCA